rnacentral:rRNA from 1 species
AUUGAACGCUGGCGGCAUGCCUUACACAUGCAAGUCGAACGGUAACAGGUCUUCGGAUGCUGACGAGUGGCGAACGGGUGAGUAAUACAUCGGAACGUGCCUAGUAGUGGGGGAUAACUACUCGAAAGAGUGGCUAAUACCGCAUGAGAUCUACGGAUGAAAGCAGGGGAUCGCAAGACCUUGUGCUACUAGAGCGGCCGAUGGCAGAUUAGGUAGUUGGUGGGAUAAAAGCUUACCAAGCCGACGAUCUGUAGCUGGUCUGAGAGGACGACCAGCCACACUGGGACUGAGACACGGCCCAGACUCCUACGGGAGGCAGCAGUGGGGAAUUUUGGACAAUGGGCGCAAGCCUGAUCCAGCAAUGCCGCGUGCAGGAUGAAGGCCUUCGGGUUGUAAACUGCUUUUGUACGGAACGAAAAGCCCUGGGUUAAUACCCUCGGGUCAUGACGGUACCGUAAGAAUAAGCACCGGCUAACUACGUGCCAGCCGCCGCCGUAA